rnacentral:rRNA from 1 species
UACGAAGGGGGCUAGCGUUGCUCGGAAUCACUGGGCGUAAAGCGCACGUAGGCCGAUUGUUAAGUCAGGGGUGAAAUCCUGGAGCUCAACUCCAGAACUGCCCUUGAUACUGACGGUCUCGAGUCCGGGGAGAGGUGAGUGGAACUGCGAGUGUAGAGGUGAAAUUCGUAGAUAUUCGCAAGAACACCAGUGGCGAAGGCGGCUCACUGGCCCGGUACUGGACGCUGAGGUGCGGAAAGCGUGGGGA